GAAUCACCCCAAAGGCUGGGCACCCAAACAGUUAGAGGGACAAAUUUCUCGGUCUCGCCUCUCCCGUCCCGUCCCCUUUGCCCCAGGGUGACCUUUUUUCCUCAAGACUGGGGACAUGGAUUGAAGGCCGGAAUUCCAGCCAGAAGCUCUUGUUCUGUGCGGGCCAGACUGAGCGGCUUCCACUGCAUAGACGAAGUCCACACCUUCCCAUCGCUGGGCGUGGCGAGGAGGGGCUGCCCCGGGCUGCACGCCCUUUGCGCCCAGGCCCCUGUCCCGCGGGCGGACCGUGCGCGGAGGGACAGGGCCUGGGGACAUCCGAGGGAAGUGGUCCGGGGGUCUGCCGGCCACCGAGAGGGGCAGGCUUGGACAGUGCUCCCCUGGCGCACACGCCAGGCUCCUCGCCGGCCCUCUCCAAAGGGCCCAGGUGGCUGCCCCGCGACGCCAUCCACCAAGAGUCCGACAGCAGCUGGAUCCCGCUUCCAAAGGUCGCCGCCGCCGGGUCCCCGGGGCUCCCGCACGCAGGGCCUGGCGCGAAGGUCACCGCCCAGCACCACCUCGGUCUGCGCGUCCAUUUCCAAGAGGCAGGCGGUGGAGAGGGGAGCCCGGGCACCGUGUUCCCUUUCCCUCUCAUUACCAACCUCCUACCCUCCAUUGGUUUCUGAAACUGAAACACAGAACCAGAAUCCUCAGAGAGAGGGCUGCCACUGAGGUUUUUGGGGAUGGACAGAGAAGAGAUGAAGGCACAGGAAGUCAAAGUCGUUUCUCGAAUCUCUUUGCCAUCAUUCAUCUACUAUGCAGAGUUCUCUAGCUGCUGCUUCUGUGAGAAAAGAGAGGCCAGCGCUGGCUCCUGGUGCUGGCUUGUGUGUGUUCUCCCCUCAUAGGCUGCUUCCAUAUGGAGGAUUUUAAUAGCAUUUCGUCGUCAAGGGGAUUUCUCCUUAAACACACACAUGAGUGCAGAAGGGGAAACAAAAACCAUGAGCAGGAAAGCUUAAUGACUGCACAAGCGGCACUGUCUCUUUAAGAUCCCUCCCCCAUUGGUAAUUGGGCCCAGCUCUUGGGUAACUAAGAUAACAUCCCUCCCAAAUCCUGCCAUUUCUAGGCAUCCUCAGUCACUGUAUAACUGUGGGGUUUAAUAGCCUAAUAGGAUAAAGCCUUAAGAAAUCAUUCUUAAAAGAGUCCUUUUAGAAAUGCUGCUCUAAUAGGGAGGCUGUCUGAGAACUUCAACAAAGAUAAGAUUUUCAACUCUCUCUCUCUCUCACACACACACACACACACACACACACACACACACACACAUUUACCUAAAUGUUCAGAGCUAGGAGUGGCCAGGGAGAAACUUCUUUGGAUAUAUAGCGGUUGGUCUGAGUUGAAGCCUGACUCAUUUAGAAUUAUCCCUCUCAAUCUGGGAGCAGAAAGACUUGCCCAAGUUCAACUUGUUGAGUUGAAGAUCAAGAUACAGUAUCUCAUUCUUGAGUCUCAAUUCAGUACUUCCUGUUUAAAUGAUAAUAAAAAGAGCCACCCUGGUAGUUCCUUUAUUGGCAUCGGCUCUUCAGCUUUCUUUGAUCCAUGCCCUUGGCCAGGUAACUUACAGUCCUUCCACACUUCCCUGCGUCUUUGGGUUUGAUGGUGUGACUUGCGUUGGUCAGGAGAGAGGUCGAUGCUAUGGUGUCCGGUUCUGAGCUACACUUCAAGAAGCCUGCAUGUUUCUACUUGUGCCCUUGCACCUCUGAGAAGCACAGGCUGGCUGGUCUCAGGAAAAGAGUAGAAGCCCUGUGGACCAGAGCCAUCCCCAGCCAACCCCAACCCAAAUGUACCAGAGUGAACCCAGCUGCACAGAGCUCACCCACAGUUCUGAAUAAACAGUGUUUGUUUUAAGCCACCAGCUUGGGAGUGAUUCCUUACUUAGCAUCAUUGGAGCCAGUUAACCAUUUCAAUAAGAUGUACUUAGCCAUGACGAAGUGUCAGACAUGGUUUUAGAUGCUUUAUUUGAAUUAGCUCAUUUAAUCCCUUGUAACCACCAUAAGAAGUAGGUGUUAUCAUUGACCCCAUUAUAUGGAUAAGAAAACUAAGGCGCAGAGAGGUUAAGUGAAAUGUCUAAGGUCACACACCUGGUAAGCAACAGAAAUGUGAACCCAGAUCACCUGGCUACAGAGCACACGUGCUGGUUCUUCAUCACUAUGCUACUAUUUUGCCCUAUCCCAAGUCUUCCCAAGAAACCUGCUAACAGUCCCUUCCUAACUAAACCUCAGGUCUGGAAUUCUAAAAGAAAUAUAUCUCACCCUACACCUUCCCCACUCUGAAGUUCUUAACUUUCUCUACUUUACGUGUAGGUCUCCAGAAGAAGAAUCCUCAGGGAUUCACAGGUAACAGAUCUGCUCUCUAAACCCCUCCUUCUGCAAGAGAAAUCCUCCUGCCCAGACUCCCUCAUGCUCAGCAUGCAGUGUAGACAGAAAUAGCAGGAUCUACAUGAACUGUGGAUCCAUGCACUCAUUCCAAGAUCUUCUUUCUUCAGCGAGCAAUGGGUGCUCCAUGCAUGUGAUUAUCCCUACGUACCCUACAAAGACCUUGCUAAUGCUUAGAGAUCAAUUAUUUGCAUAUCUUUUCCAUGGAGGAAAUGAUCCAUCCACCUAAUAGUGUGUGGGCUUGUAUCCCCUUCUUUUUUUCCUCUCGUGGGAAAACAAAUCAACUGUUUUUCCUUUUCCUUCUCACAAACUGUAAAUCAUGCUGUCUUUCACCGACCAAGGAGGAAAAGUUGCAUCUGAGUUAUCGCUGUGAAGAAGUAGUUCGCAAGCAUGCGCAGCCGGCAUCUUCUUGUCUCCAUAUGAAGAGGAUCAAUGCAAUUCAUGUUUUCUUGUUCACACAAAGCUAGAUUUGAAAAUUCCUGGAAAAUCAAGGAAAUGUUUAGAGAAGUUGUUAGAAUUUGGAGAAACUUAGGAAAUUUGAGAGGAAGAUCAGAUUUUCAUAGUCUGGAUGCACCGUGGGAGAAGUGAGAGGGGUGGGAAGAUGGGUACAGUGAGCUUCCUUCUUCUCUAGAUGUUCAUUGCCUGAUUGGCCAAUGUGUUAGCUUCCUAGGGCUGCUGUCACCAAUAAAGUUAUAUAAAUGUAUUCUCUCACAGUUGGGAAGUGAGAAGUCUGAAAUUAAGGUGCUGGCAGAGCAGUGUUCUUUCUGAAGCCUUUCUUUUAGCUUCUGGUGUCACUGGCAGUCCUUGACACUCCCUGAUUUGUAGACAUGCCACUCUGGUCUCUGCCCAAACCAUUGCAUGACAAUCUCCACAUCAUCUCCCUGUGUGUCUGUGCCUGUCUCUGUGUCUCUUCUCUUCUUAGAAGGAUAUCAGCCAUACUUAAUUAAUGUCCAUUCCACUGACUUCAUCUUAUCUUGAAUUCCAUCUGUGAAGACCCUAUUUCCAAAUCCGAUUCCUACCAGGUUAGAGAGAAGCUGUCUUAAUAGCUCAGGUGAGACACCAUG
ensembl:lncRNA